rnacentral:rRNA from 1 species
AGUCGAGGGGUAACAUCUUUGGAUGUUGAGACCGGCGCACGGGUGCGUAACGCGUAUGCAAUCUACCUUAUACUAAGGGAUAGCCCAGAGAAAUUUGGAUUAAUACCUUAUAGAAUAUUGAAAUGGCAUCAUUUAGAUAUUAAAGAUUUAUUGGUAUAAGAUGAGCAUGCGUCCCAUUAGUUAGUUGGUAAGGUAACGGCUUACCAAGACGAUGAUGGGUAGGGGUCCUGAGAGGGAGAUCCCCCACACUGGUACUGAGACACGGACCAGACUCCUACGGGAGGCAGCAGUGAGGAAUAUUGGUCAAUGGGCGCAAGCCUGAACCAGCCAUGCCGCGUGCAGGAUGACGCAUCUAUGGUGUGUAAACUGCUUUUGUACAGGAAGAAACAUCCCGACGAGUCGGGACUUGACGGUACUGUAAGAAUAAGGAUCGGCUAACUCCGUGCCAGCAGCCGCGGUAAUACGGAGGAUCCAAGCGUUAUCCGGAAUCAUUGGGUUUAAAGGGUCCGUAGGCGGCUUAAUAAGUCAGCGGUGAAAGUUUUUGGCUUAACCAAAAAAUUGCCAUUGAUACUGUUAGGCUUGAAUUUUUGUGAAGUAACUAGAAUAUGUAGUGUAGCGGUGAAAUGCUUU